rnacentral:lncRNA from 1 species
GCCACGUGCAGAAGAAUGAAAGUGGACUAUUUCACAAGACAUAAAAAUUAACUCAAAAUAGGCUAAAGACUUGAACAGAAGACCUGAAACCAUAAAACUCCCAGGAGAAAACAUAAGUCUGAUCAGCUCCUUGGCCUUGGCCUUAGCCAUGAUCUUUUGGAUCUGAUUCCAAAAGCAAAAUUAACAAGCAGGGCUACGUUGAACUAAAGGGCUUCUUCAGAGCAAAGGGGUUCAACAAAAUAGGCCAGCCUUAGACUUUUCCCAGUCUCAUCAUGGCCACCCCUUGGACCUGUGGGCCAAGAGGGGUCAGGUCUGCUGUGGAACCUCAGGGGUCUGCAAGUUCUGGGCUCCUGAAGAGGGGCUCUCAAUUGCCUACCGAAUAAUUAAAGGUUGCCUGGAAGAAAGCAGGAGAACUGAAAAACCCUGAGAAAGGGGACACUGACCUUUCCUCCCCACCCUCCAAAUUUCCUUGGGCAGCCAACAGUCUUCUUGUUUACUCAAUGGGAGUGCCUGACCAGGACUCCACCCAAGCCAAACAGUGAGGUUAAACUGUCAGCAAAGCAAAUAGGCUUUCUGCAAGACUUCCUUCACUUCCCUCUUGAAUGGUGUCUUCACAGUUGGCUCAUUACUUCAAUUGGAAUACCUCUGCACAAAAUGAAUCUUAGAAGGAAUUUGGUGCUGCUUCCUAGAGAUCUAGGUUUGCAAAAGGCUGCCUAUGUGAUGGAAGCUAUGUUUGAUCCUGAAGAUCUCUUUAGCUUUUACUUCUGACCAGUGAAUUUUUUUUAAGAAUAUUUUUGUUGAGAUAUUUUCACGUAGUGGGAUAUACAAAUCUUACAUAAACAGUUCAGUUUGGCAAGUACACCCAUAUGGCCCAUAUCCCUAUUCUGUUAGCCCAGAAAAUCCCUAGACAAUCCCCCCAUCCUUGGCCCCUGGCAACCAAGGUUCUCAUUUCUAUCACACGUAUUUUUGCCAGUUCUGGUAUUUCAUAUAAAUGGAAUCCUACAGUAUGUGCUCUUUGUGUCUGGCUUUCGGCUCAGCAUGUUUGUGAGAUUCACCAGUUAUCAGUGUACAGAUCAGUUCAUUCCUUUUUCUGGGUGAACAGUAGUCCAUUAUUUCCAUAUACUCCACUUUACUCCCUCCUUUUCCUAUUGAUAGUCACCAGCACUGUUUCCAGCUUUAAUGACAAGACUGUGAAUAUUCUUGCACAAAUUAUUUUGUGGACAUGUUUUUAUUUCUCUUGGAUGAAUACAAGCACACUUCAUUUUAUUGUGCUUUGCUUUAUUGCACUUCACAGAUGUUUGUUUCUUACAAAUUGAAGGUUUCUGUCAACCCUGUAUCGAGCACAUUUGUUGGUAUCAUUUUUCCAACAGCAUUUGCACACUUUGUGUCUCUGUCAAUUUUGGUAAUUCUCGCAAUAAUUCAGACUUUUUUCAUUAUUGUUAAAUUUGUUAUGUGAUCUGUGAUCAGUGAUUAUGACACACAGCUCCGAUGGUGGCUCUGACUUUUUAAUUAAGGUACAUACAUUUUUUAGACAAUACUAUUGCAUACUUAAUAGACUAUAAUAUAAGCAUAACUUUUUUUUAAGGAUUUAUUUAUUUGAGAGACAACAAGAGUGCUCAAGCAGGAGGGGCAGAGGGAGAAGGACAGACAGAAUCUCAAGCAGACUCUGCCCUGAGACUGGAACCCAAUGCAGGGCUUGAUAUCACAACUGAGAUCAUGGCCUGAGCUCAAACCAAGUGUCAGAUGAUUGACUGCACCACCCAGGCCCACAGACUCACAGAGAACAAGGCCCCAGACUUCCUCUUGGAGGACCAGUUCCUGAGACAGUCCUUGGGAGCUUGGGGGAGGAGGUGCCCACCAAACCUUUGUGGUAUUAGCACCUGAUCUGGAAGCAGGCAGAAAGCCACUGGCCUAAAAAAAGCCUCUGGAGCCCUAGUGGCUCUGGAGGGAGGAAAUAGGAUAAGCUGGGGAGGUAGCUGGUGGAAGGCCACAGGCUGCAGUGUGACACACACCCCCCCGUCACUGCACCAGGUCUGUGGGGUCCACCACACCCACAGAUGCUCCCCACGUGGGGCUGGCUCCUAGUGUGCACAUGAUGAACUUUCACACUUGUUCACGCCACACUGCAAUAGCUUUUCUAGACCCCACAGACUCACAUCAUUCCCAGUGGUAUCUAUCCCCAAAAUUCAACCACUGUUCCUGGGGCUAAUGUCCUAGAGGUGUGCCUGUUCUAGAACAUCAUGUAAAUGGAAUCAUACAAGAUGUGCACUAGUGCCAAUUCCCUCACCCAGUAUCAUUCACCCAAGUUACUGGGUGUGGCUGACCAUUCUCAUCACUGUAGACUGUUCAGCUGUGGGAAUAUGCCACAAUGUAUUUAUCCACUGCAAUGUUCAUGGACAUUUGCAUGGUUUCCAGUUUGGACUGUUUUGAAUAGGGCUGUUACAUUUUUGUACAUGCCUUUUGGCAUUCAUUUCUCUUUAGUAUUUUUUUUGGACUAGAAUAGCUGGUUCUGAGGCAGGUAUUUUUUUUUUUAACUUUCAGGAAUACUAACAGGACACCUGGCUGGCUCAGUCAGAAGAGCAAGCAACUCUUGAUCUUGGGGUCAUGAAUUUGAACCCCACGUUGGAUGUAGAGAUUAUAUAAAUAAGUAA